UGGGCCAUGACAGGCUCUGUGUUGCCAGGGAUGGCCGGGCGGCAGCUGAGGGGGAAGAAGGAAGAGCUCCAGCUCAUCUGUGAGGCCCUUGAAGGCAUGGCAAAUGACAUCAGCGUCGCCAUUGGAAGCCUGGCAAUUCAAACAUUGUACGUCCUCCAGGCAGUAAAGAGAGCUUGAUAUUCCAUCUUGGACAGCCUGCAUGAUCAGCUCCGCAGGGCAUGGAGGACACGGCCUCGUCUGUUGGGGCUCGGCUGGCUGCGCUGCUGGAGCUCUGCAGAGUGCUGAUCGCAGAGGGUCUGUCUGCUGGGGCCACCUGAGCCAGCAGGAAUGUUUCAUUUCUUCAAGGUUGUUCUUUCCUUCUUUUGGCUUUUCUUUAGCAUAUAAAUAUAGGAUGUGUUGUAAUAGACAGA